GGGGUGACUAGUGACAGAGUGAGGAAGGGGGUGACACAGUGACAGAGUGAGGGAGGGGGUGACUAGUGACAGAGUGAGGGAGGGGGUGACACAGUGACAGAGUGAAGGAGGUGGUGACUGUCACUAGUCACCCCCUUCCCUCCCUCACUCUGUCACUAGUCACCCCCUUCCCUCCCUCACUCUGUCACUAGUCACCCCUCCCUCUCUCUGUCACUAGUCACACCCUUCCUCACUGUCACUAGUCACCCCCUCCCUCUCUCUGUCACUAGUCACACCC